AUCGCUUCUCAGCCUUUUGGCUAAGAUCAAGUGUAGAAUCAUAACCUUCCCAUGGGCCUUUGUUUCUGUAAGAUAGGAAUAAUGACAUCCAAGUGUUUACCUUAUAAAGGUACAAGGAUUGAAUAAGAGCCUGCUUUUAAAAUACUCACAGGAAUACUGUGUUGCACAAAGGAUGAUGCUCUUUGCAAGU